UGAUAAUUCACAAUUGCAGUGCAUAUCAUUCGCGACAACUUUGUCGCCUGCACUGCAAUACCAGCUGAUCUUGCAAAAGCUUACAUUGCGAGAGCAAGCCUUUGCAAGAACCUUCAAAGCUUGGGACACAGCUGGUAAAUUGCACCCAUCUUCGCUUCUUACAUUCCAAGAAGAGAGAGAGAGCAACUGGAAUGUGGGCCUAUAAAAAGAGCCACAUGGGUCAAAUCGUUCUUUUUCCGGCAUCACGAGAUCAUCAAGUCAAAAUUUGGUUGUGCUGAAAAUUUAAAAUGGACUUUUGUCCAUUUUUCUCAUAUUAGAUACCCUAACUUCACGCCAGCAAGGGUCACCUUGAAGAGCGGAGGUUAGGGUACGAAAAGCCGGCAGAGCAGCAUAACGCCUAAGCGACGGGGGAGAUGAAGGGCAGCAUCAAAAGAAAAAAACCGAAAAAAAAACCAACAAAAUAAAAGAAACUUUACUGCGUGAAAAAAACAACCAUAUGAAUUUCUGAAAACGUGAAAAAAUAUAACUAAUGAAAUAGAAAUUUGAAAAUAGAUUAGUAUUUGCAUAUAGAAAAAAAAAAAAAAAAAACUGCGAAAUAUAAAGAAAAGAACCCAAAAUAAAAAAAAGAGUUUGUGCAAGACAUUUAAAUUGCCGACGGCAAGUGAGAAGUUAUUUUUUUUUGUCGAGAGAAAAGUUAAAGAAAACAGAAAAAUUAGUGGUUUAAAAGCUCAAUCAUAAAAUCUAUAAUUACUAUAUAUAUAUAAUGAACACACAAAAACGAAACCAAUAAAUAAAUAUAUAUCAAUAAAUAUAUAUCAAUAAAUAAAUAAAAAUGAAUAAAUAAGAAACAUAAAGCAAAGUACAGCACAUCAAAGAAAAAAAUGAAUCCACACACCCUAUAAAGAAAACUUGAAGAGAAAAAAAAAUUUUUGUUAAAAAUAACUAACAAAAAUAACGCCAGAAAAAAAAAAGUUUAAGAUUGUGUUGUUCCUCCCCUCCCGCCAAUAUACCCCAUUUCUACACUUAACAGCUGACACCACCACGCAGAAAGGCCGCACGCAGAAAGAAGAAAAGAGAAAUAAUGAUUUAGAUAAAUAAAAACAGCAGAAAAAUAGUAAACGUAUAAUUGUAAGUGAAGUAAAAAUUAUUAUUUGAAUGAAAAAAAAUAACAGUAGCAAUGAGAAAGUUUAUAUAUAGGUCUUGAAUAUUAGUUGUAAGAACUUUGUUUUUUUUUUUUGAGUCUGCGUACUCAACAAUAAAAAAAAUGAAUUCAACAAGUUA